AUCUGUUUAUUUUUUUUUCUUUUAUUUUGCUUUCUCCCUGUUUGAAAAAAAAAACAGAGAAUACUCCCCCACCCCUUUUUCUCUUGGAGCUAGGGUUUCAACACUCAUCAUUGCCGGCGGUUCACCGUGCCAAACGGAGAGGGGAGCUCCGACGACGCGGCCACGGUGUAGAUCCGGUGUCAGCCUUCCAUGGUUGGUGCCCCAAGCGGUGGUGGUGGUGCGCGUGAUGGCCGGGCAGAGGAGGGAGUGGCGGCUGAACUUUGGUGGCUAGGGUUAGGGUGGCUGCUGAAAAAAAGUUUAAGAUAAUGGGCUGACUUGGGCUUUAGGGUUUUAAUUAGGUUUUCUUUUAAUUUUGGGCCAUGUAUUGGGCUAUUUUUUUGUUUUUUUGAUUUGGGUUCUUUUAGGCCAAAAUUAGCUAUUACAUUAAGAGUGAAUUUUUUUUAAUCAAUUUGAAGUUGGAUUUACAAGGUUUUUAAUUAAAA